GACGAACGCUGGCGGCGUGCCUAAUACAUGCAAGUUGAGCGAUGAAGAUUGGUGCUUGCACCAAUUUGAAGAGCAGCGAACGGGUGAGUAACGCGUGGGGAAUCUGCCUUUGAGCGGGGGACAACAUUUGGAAACGAAUGCUAAUACCGCAUAACAACUUUAAACAUAAGUUUUAAGUUUGAAAGAUGCAAUUGCAUCACUCAAAGAUGAUCCCGCGUUGUAUUAGCUAGUUGGUGAGGUAAAGGCUCACCAAGGCGAUGACACAUAGCCGACCUGAGAGGGUGAUCGGCCACAUUGGGACUGUGACACGGCCCAAACUCCUACGGGAGGCAGCAGUAGGGAAUCUUCGGCAAUGGACGAAAGUCUGACCGAGCAACGCCGCGUGAGUGAAGAAGGUUUUCGGAUCGUAAAACUCUGUUGGUAGAGAAGAACGUUGGUGAGAGUGGAAAGCUCAUCAAGUGACGGUAACUACCCAGAAAGGGACGGCUAACUACGUG
rnacentral:rRNA from 1 species